UACGAAGGGGGCUAGCGUUGUUCGGAUUUACUGGGCGUAAAGCGCACGUAGGCGGAUCGUUAAGUCAGGGGUGAAAUCCUGGGGCUCAACCCCAGAACUGCCUUUGAUACUGGCGAUCUCGAGUCCGGAAGAGGUGAGUGGAACUCCUAGUGUAGAGGUGGAAUUCGUAGAUAUUAGGAAGAACACCAGUGGCGAAGGUGGCUCACUGGUCCGGUACUGACGCUGAGGUGCGAAAGCGUGGGGAGCAAACAGG
rnacentral:rRNA from 1 species